rnacentral:tRNA from 1 species
UCCAAGUGGCUCAGAUGGUAAAGAAUCUGCUUGCAAUGCAGGAGACCUGGGUUCAAUCCCAGAUCAGGAA